AAUUCAUAUUAUUUAUUAAUUUAUUACAGGUAUUUAUAUAGAGCUGAUAUUUUACACAGCGCUGUACAUAUUGCACAAUCACAUGAGUCCCCGCCCUAAAGGAGCUUCCAAUCUAAGGUCUCUGUGUCACAUACACACACAG